rnacentral:misc_RNA from 1 species
GAUGAAGAACGUAGCGAAAUGCGAUAAGUAAUGUGAAUUGCAGAAUUCAGUGAAUCAUCGAAUCUUUGAACGCACAUUGCGCCCCUUGGUAUUCCGGGGGGCAUGCCUGUUCGAGCGUCAUUAUCACCCCUCAAGCUCAGCUUGGUGUUGGGGCCUGCCGUCAAGGCAGCCCUUAAAAUCAGUGGCGGCGCCAUCUGGCUCUAAGCGUAGUAAUUCUUCUCGCUAUGGAGUCCUGGUGGAUGCUUGCCAUCAACCCCCAAUUUUUCUAUGGUUGACCUCGGAUCAGGUAGGGAUACCCGCUGAACUUAAGCAUAUCAAUAACGGAGGA